GCAUCGAUAGCUCAGUGGCUGACCAGUGGGGCGUUGACCCAUGUGUCCCGGGUUCGAGUCCCGGUCGAUGCA